rnacentral:rRNA from 1 species
GGGAAGUAAAAGUCGUAACAAGGUCUCCGUUGGUGAACCAGCGGAGGGAUCAUUACAGAGUUUUCAACUCCCAAACCCUUAUGUGAACAUACCAAGAUGUUGCUUCGGCGGACUCGCCCCGGCGUCCGGACGGCCUAGCGCCGCCCGCAGCCCGGACUCAGGCGGCCGCCGGAGACCACCAAACUCUUUUGUAUCAUGAGUAUCUUCUGAAUCCGCCGCAAGGCAAAACAAAUGAAUCAAAACUUUCAACAACGGAUCUCUUGGUUCUGGCAUCGAUGAAGAACGCAGCGAAAUGCGAUAAGUAAUGUGAAUUGCAGAAUUCAGUGAAUCAUCGAAUCUUUGAACGCACAUUGCGCCCGCCAGCAUUCUGGCGGGCAUGCCUGUUCGAGCGUCAUUUCAACCCUCGACUUCCCUUUGGGGAAAUCGGCGUUGGGGACCGGCAGCAUACCGCCGGCCCCGAAAUGGAGUGGCGGCCCGUCCGCGGCGACCUCUGCGUAGUAAUCCAACCUCGCACCGGAACCCCGACGUGGCCACGCCGUAAAACACCCCACUUUCUGAACGUUGACCUCGGAUCAGGUAGGAAUACCCGCUGAACUUAAGCAUAUCAAUAAGCGGAGGA